AUUGAACGCUGGCGGCAUGCCUUACACAUGCAAGUCGAACGGCAGCACGGACUUCGGUCUGGUGGCGAGUGGCGAACGGGUGAGUAAUAUAUCGGAACAUACCCUAGAGUGGGGGAUAACGUAGCGAAAGUUACGCUAAUACCGCAUACGAACUAAGGUUGAAAGUGGGGGAUCUUCGGACCUCAUGCUCAUGGAGUGGCCGAUAUCUGAUUAGCUAGUUGGUGAGGUAAAGGCUCACCAAGGCGACGAUCAGUAGCUGGUUUGAGAGAACGACCAGCCACACUGGAACUGAGACACGGUCCAGACUCCUACGGAGGCAGCAGUGGGGAAUUUUGGACAAUGGGCGCAAGCCUGAUCCAGCAAUGCCGCGUGAGUGAAGAAGGCCUUCGGGUUGUAAACCCUAGUCGUCGAGGACGAAGGUCGGAGUGUUAAUAGCGCUUUGGCUUGACGGUACUCGGAGAGGAAGG
rnacentral:rRNA from 1 species